GACUAACGCUGGCGGCGUGCUUAACACAUGCAAUUCUAGCGGUAAGGCCCUUCUGGGUACACGAGCGGCGAACGGGUUAGUAACACGUGUGUAAUCUGCCCCUCACUUCGUGAUAACUCCGGUAACCCUUUGCUAAUACCGAAUAUGCCCACUUACAUCAUCUGAUUGUUGUGGAACGUUCCGGCGGUGAUGGAUGAGCUCGCUGCCUAUCCGCUUGUUGGUGGGGUAGUGGCCUACCAAGGCUUCUACGGGUAGCCGGCAUGAGAGUGUGACCGGCAACACUGGGACUGAGACACGGCCCAGAAUCGUAAGGGAGGCAGAAGUGGGGAAUAUUGGACAAUGGGCGAAAGCCUGAUCCAGAAACGCCGCGUGAGGGAUGACGGCCUUAGGGUUGUAAACCUCUGUCAGCAGGGACGAAGCGCAAGUGACGGUACCUGCAGAAGAAGCACCGGCCAACUACGUG
rnacentral:rRNA from 1 species